UUUCAUCUGCCUUCCCCUUUUGCAUGAUUACCAAGUGGAUUUUGCAUUCAAUUCUUUGUAUGCAAUUGGUGGCAAAAUCUAUGCAGGUCUAAGCUUGCUUCCCAAGCUUUUAUUGGAUAGCAAAACAGCAUGUACUUGUCUGGUGGUGGGGAUAUAGAGACUGCAAAUUGAGAGGCUGAUGUUCAAAUCCAGCAGAUCACCACAAAGCCCUCAGGAUAUUAUUCUUGCUGCAAUUACAAGUAACAGCUAAAGAAAGGACACAUAAAUAAAAAGAAGAGAAGGCAUCAGCUGCCUCCCAUGCAGAGCCCUUUGAGUCCGGGACAUAACCCACCAGCUGCUCCAGGGGCAUCGCUGAGGAACAUGAAAUCCAUCCCUGAGGAGCCAGCCCAGGCAGACCACAGUGGAGCACCAGAGUUCUGUGCAGGCACACUGAGGAUUGAGGAGAUCCACUGAAGCACCAAGACAUUUUAUCCUGGCACACGCCAAGUGUAGUGCUCUGUCAGACAUCCAGGAGCUAUUGAAAGGCAGAAGUGCACUGA